rnacentral:rRNA from 1 species
AACGAACGCUGGCGGCAUGCCUAACACAUGCAAGUCGAACGAUUGCCUUCGGGUGAUAGUGGCGCACGGGUGCGUAACGCGUGGGAAUCUGCCCUUAGGUUCGGAAUAACAGCUGGAAACGGCUGCUAAUACCGGAUGAUAUCGCGAGAUCAAAGAUUUAUCGCCUGGGGAUGAGCCCGCGUUGGAUUAGGUAGGUGGUGGGGUAAAGGCCUACCAAGCCGACGAUCCAUAGCUGGUCUGAGAGGAUGAUCAGCCACACUGGGACUGAGACACGGUCCAGACUCCUACGGGAGGCAGCAGUGGGGAAUAUUGGACAAUGGGCGCAAGCCUGAUCCAGCAAUGCCGCGUGAGUGAUGAAGGCCCUAGGGUUGUAAAGCUCUUUUACCCGGGAAGAUAAUGACUGUACCGGGAGAAUAAGCCCCGGCUAACUCCGUG